CACAAGCGGUGGAGUAUGUGGUUUAAUUCGAUGCAACGCGAAGAACCUUACCUAGGUUUGACAUCCGGAAGACCUUCCCGAAAAGGAAGGGUGCCCUUCGGGGAAUUCCGAGACAGGUGCUGCAUGGCUGUCGUCAGCUCGUGCCGUGAGGUGUUGGGUUAAGUCCCGCAACGAGCGCAACCCUAUUGCCAGUUGCUACCAGGUAAUGCUGGGCACUUUGGUGAGACUGCCCCGGUUAACGGGGAGGAAGGUGGGGACGACGUCAAGUCAUCAUGGCCCUUACGCCUAGGGCUACACACGUACUACAAUGGCGCAUACAAAGGGCAGCGAUACCGCGAGGUGGAGCCAAUCCCAAAAAGUGCGUCCCAGUCCGGAUUGCAGUCUGCAACUCGACUGCAUGAAGUUGGAAUCGCUAGUAAUUCGAGAUCAGCAUGCUCGGGUGAAUGCGUUCCCGGGCCUU
rnacentral:rRNA from 1 species